rnacentral:lncRNA from 1 species
UUUUAAGUAUUUUUGAUGAGCUAAUUUAUUUAACUAAAUAAAAUAGUAUGCUAAAUUUAAUAACUCUGUUAGAUAUUAGUCAUUGGUUGUUAUUAUUUUAUUAACAAAAAUUAAAAAAAUUAAAUUCUAACUAACUUACUAUUAGAUUUAGUAAAAUUCUUAAUUUAUUUGAAUGGAAUAAUGAAAAUAAGAUAAUUAGAAGCUAAGCGAGUGUAAAUUAAAUAAAUAAAUUUAAUAUUUUUUAACAUUAAUUAUCUAAUCACUAAUUUUUUAUUAAAAAUUUGAGUAGUUAAAAUCUUAUUUAUCUACUAAAAUUUUUAUUUGUACAUAUGUUGGCCCCCCUC